CCCUUUCCGCCAUGACAGUAAGCUAGACACAGGAUACAGCUUCAGCUAUGGUUCAUACGUGUUGUGUUAUCAGUUGCAACGUUUGAUCACACGAUCGUGAAGGCAAGAAGCUGGAUAAUGGGCUCUUUUCAUCGGUUUUCAACCUGGAGGCAACGUGAGGGAUCCCAUGUAUCCGAUAUUACUAAACAAAGACGUCAGGCUUGCAUUGCAGCGGUGAGACGAGCGGAUCGAGUUCUGUGCAAUCCCCAGCUUUUUGUUGGUUUGGUCUCCGCAUCUUCUUUCCGGCUUUUAUUAUGCAGCUGCAGAGUCUGAAGGUGUGCCGCGUGCAGAAGUAAUCGAUGAAGAUCUGACAGAAGAACAA